CUCGAGUCUUUGACGCAAGUUGCGCCCGAAGCCAUUAGGCCGAGGGCACGCCUGCCUGGGUGUCACACAUCGUCAUCCCCAUGCAAAUGCGCAUCGGGGCAAAAGCUGGCCUCCCGCGAGACAACCAACGUGGCUGGUCGAAAACCAAGUUAACGUCGGGGGUCCCCCCGCCACAAACGGUGGAUGAGCAGUGCUCGAGACCAACGGCGGAGGGGGACACCCGGUACUACAAUUUGUGGGCCCUAUUGCGUUCUUUGUAGAAAGCAAAGACGCUCCUAAAGAGACCUCAGGUCAGGCGGGGCUACCCGCUGAGUUUAAGCAUAUCAAUAAGCGGAGGAAAAGAAACUAACAAGGAUUCCCUUAGUAACGGCGAGCGAACCGGGAACAGCCCACCAUGAGAAUCGGUCGCCUUUGGCGUUCGAAUUGUAGUAGG
rnacentral:rRNA from 1 species